UUCACAUAAAAUUUAUUUCAAAAUAAUUAAAAAUUUUAAUAUAAUAAUUUAUACCCAAUCCAUGAUUUUUUUGUAACUAAAAAAUAACAAGUAUGUGUGUAAACUAAUAUUAUUAAUCUCCUAUGACUUAAAAAAUUAUCAAUCAAAAUAUGAACCAAAAUUAAAAUAACAUAAGAUUUAAACACCAAGAAAGAUAGUAUCUUUUCAUUUGCUCCGGUGGUUAGUCUUAUACGGUAUCAUUGAGUGUGCAUUUGUAUCUUCCCAUCCACCAACUAUUUAACUCUCUCGGCUGAAAAGCCAAAUCCACCUUCUGAGUUCUAAACCACAAGAUUAGUUCUUGUAUACACAGUAUCAAUCAUACAAGCAUGAUUGAUUUGCAUGAAAUGCCUGAGAAUGAUGAUAUUACAAUAGAUAUACUUGGGGGAGACAGAGAUGAACAUGUAGUUCUGGAUAAUGAGCCAUUCAUUGGUCAAUCUUUUCUCAACGAAGAAGAAGCCUACAAGUUCUAUGAAAAUUUUGCCAGAAGUAGUGGAUUUUCAUUUCGCAAGGGAAGAUUCACUAAAGACAAAAAAAUGGUGAACUAUACAGGCGAGACUUCUUCUGCCAUCGGGAAGGUUUUCCGGAUAAAAAAAUUGUUGAUCUAGAAAAGGAUCAAAGAAAUAGAAAAUAAACAAGAUGCGGAUGCAAGGCAACCAUGCGAGUCACCUUAAAAAAAGUUUUUGAGAUUUUUCCUCAAGAAUGGCAUGUCACCAAGUUCGUGAAGCAUCAUAACCAUAACUUGUUUCCACCUGAGCAGGUGCGUUUUCUCCCCUCUUAUCGUACAAUCAUUAAAGAAGAUGAACAACAAAUUUUGUUAUAUAAAGAAGCAGAUCUUUCUGUGCGACAAAUAAUGCAUGUUAUGGAGUUGCAAAAGAAUUUACGACAUGGAGAUCUUCCUUUCUUUCGUAAAGAUUUUCAUAAUUUUUUUACUAAAAUCCGUCAAAAUAGUGGACAAAGUGAUGUCACGAGUCUACUAGAUCAUUGUAAACUUGAAAAAAUUGGAGAUACACGUUUUCAGUAUAGUUAUACAUUUCAUGAACAAGGUCGAUUGGAGCAUAUAUUUUGGUCACCAACACAUUGUUUUGAUUGGUAUCAAAAGUAUGGAGAUGCUUUUGCAUUUGAUACAACUUACAAAGUUAACUCUUAUGACAUGCCUUUUGGUAUAUUUGUUGGUAUUAAUAAUCAUGAAAGAAUAAUAUUGCUUGGGUGUGCUCUGCUUCGGAAUGAAACAGUGACUACAUUUCAGUGGUUGAUAAAGGUAAUAUAUUUCUAUAUGCAUAUAUAAUUAUAAUCAUAUUUGUUUAUAUAUAUUAAUUUAUUUAAUUUAUUACAGAUCGGGAUGUUUGUAUUGCACAAGCAAACAAAGUUGAGAUGCCAACCACAAAGCAUGCAUUUUGUAUAUGGUACAUAACCUCUUAAUUUAGCAGCUGGUUUACCUCUAUUUUAAGAAAUAAAUAUUUUGAUUGGUGUGGUGAUUUUUAUAAGCUUUAUAAGAUGGACAACAUUGAAGAUUUUGAACACCAAUGGCCUUCCACGAUUGCAAAAUACAAUUUACAAGACAAUAAGCACAUUACAGGCUUAUACCAAAUUAAGGAUUUUUGGGUUCCAUCUUAUCUUCGCGGAUAUGUUUUUGGUGGCAUGACAACUACAGGAAGGUCUGAAAGUAUUAAUAGUUUUGUGAAAAAGUUUUACAAAUUCGCGGUUAUGUCUAACCCAAUUAAUUAAACGGGUUGACCUUGCAAUCGAAGAUAUUGAGCAGGGCAAUUUACAACAUACCAUGUUGGAUGCUUACAGAGGUUCUUGUUUGAGGACAUUAUCAUCGCUUGAGGAGCAAGUAUAUAGUCUUUUCACAAAAUAUUCUUUUAAAAAAUUUCAAGAGCAAUUUGAGCAUCCCACUCAAUAUAAGGUAUUGGAAGUUCAUCAUUCUUCCUUCAGAGUGAAGUAUUAAAACAACUUACAUUCACAGACGCAUCAAGUUACUUGGGAAGGUGAUAUGAUCACUUGCAGUUGUAAAAAUUUUGAAUUCUGGGGAAUUGUUUGUCAUCAUAUAUUAAGUGUGUUUCUGCAUGAAGAUUGUUUCCAAAUUCCAGUCACCUAUUUACCAUUGCGUUGGUGUCGUGAUGAAUGUCAUGAAAACAUAGUCACACAUUUUGUGAGUAAACACAUUGGUGUUGAACAAAGGUGUGAUGAUAUUGGUGUCCAAAAGGAACAACUUGUUGUCCAAUGCCCUCCUGCUUCAGUGAUAAAAGGACGUCCAAAAAAUGGAAGAAUGAAAGGUGGGAAAGAACUGGCCAAACAAAUCAAAAAAUGUAGCUAUUGCAAGAUUACUGGGCACAAUGUUACUAGUUGUCCAGGAAAAGAAAAUUUCAAUAUCAAUUGCCGUGCUAAAAAAAGA